AAAGGAUGUGGCGUUGCCCAGACAACUAGGAUGUUGGCUUAGAAGCAGCCAUCAUUUAAAGAGUGCGUAAUAGCUCACUAGUCGAGUGACACUGCGCCGAAAAUGUACCGGGGCUAAACAUAUUACCGAAGCUGUGGAUUGUCCUUUGGACAAUGGUAGGAGAGCGUUCUAAGGGCGUUGAAGCAUGAUCGUAAGGACAUGUGGAGCGCUUAGAAGUGAGAAUGCCGGUGUGAGUAGCGAAAGACGGGUGAGAAUCCCGUCCACCGAUUGACUAAGGUUUCCAGAGGAAGGCUCGUCCGCUCUGGGUUAGUCGGGUCCUAAGCUGAGGCCGACAGGCGUAGGCGAUGGAUAACAGGUUGAUAUUCCUGUACCACCUAUAAUCGUUUUAAUCGAUGGGGGGACGCAGUAGGAUAGGCGAAGCGUGCGAUUGGAUUGCACGUCUAAGCAGUAAGGCUGAGUAUUAGGCAAAUCCGGUACUCG
rnacentral:rRNA from 1 species